rnacentral:rRNA from 1 species
UACGUAGGGUGCAAGCGUUGUCCGGAAUUAUUGGGCGUAAAGAGCUCGUAGGCGGUUUGUCGCGUCUGCUGUGAAAUCUCAGGGCUUAACCCUGAGCGUGCAGUGGGUACGGGCAGACUAGAGUGCGGUAGGGGAGACUGGAAUUCCUGGUGUAGCGGUGAAAUGCGCAGAUAUCAGGAGGAACACCGGUGGCGAAGGCGGGUCUCUGGGCCGUAACUGACGCUGAGGAGCGAAAGCAUGGGGAGCGAACAGG